AAUUGAUAAAUUGCAAGUUUGUGCCCCAUAGCUGCACAGACUGCCUGAAGUUACAUUUAGAGACUGAAAUCACUGCACCUUAAAAACAAAAGAUUGAGCUGCACUGUAUUCCUAUCUUUGACCAUCAGUCUGUGACCUGCCCCUUCUCUUUACAUGCAGCCGCUCUCUGCUCCCUGCCCCAAUGAACAUCUGCACUAGGCCCAAGCCUUGGAGUAAUUUACCUGAAGAGUGACACCAUUGAUUUUGAAACUACUGAAGAAACCCAAGACAGCUGAAAACCAGAAGGCAUCUGAGGAGAAUGAGAUUACUCAGCCGGGUGGAUCCAGCGCCAAGCCGGGCCUUCCCUGCCUGAACUUUGAAGCUGUUUUGUCUCCAGACCCAGCCCUCAUCCACUCAACACAUUCACUGACAAACUCUCACGCUCACACCAGGUCAUCUGAUUGUGAGAAGCCCCACCAAUGCAGCAUCUGUUGGCGCUCCUUCUCCUUAAAGGAUUACCUUAUCAAGCACAUGGUGACACACACAGGAGUGAGGGCAUACCAGUGUAGUAUCUGCAACAAGCGCU
rnacentral:sRNA from 1 species